rnacentral:lncRNA from 1 species
AGAGACCUUAGCACCAGUAAGUGGAUGCAUGUGAUGCAAGACAGUAAGACAAAUAAUGAAGGACCCUUGCGAAAUAAAUUCAACCUGAAGCUGAUCAAGCCUCUAGAUCAAGCCUACCAGUUGAUAUGAAAUACAAGAGACAGAGGAAACCGUUAACCACCACCAAGGCGCUAUAAGCCAAAUCUAGAAGUGGAAUUUUCCACAGAAACACUCAGUUUCUCUAAUAACUAACAGCACAAGGAAAGGGAUUACUACUGACUGAAAAAGACUCAAGAGAGAGAAUAACCAAUGGCAAUGUGUACUUUUUACUGGAUCCCAUAUUAGUGCUCUGAGACUGCUCUAACUACCAAAGAUUUGAUGGAUGAUUAAACAGCAGAAAUUGAUUCUCUCAGUUUUGGAGCCAGAAGUCUGAAGUGAAGGUGUCAUCAGGGCCAGGUUCCCUCUGAAGGCUCUUCCCGCUGUGGUGGCUCCAGGCUUCCUAGGCUUGCAGGAGCACCACUCCAGUCUCUGUUCUGUAGUGUUACUGUUUCUUCUUUUAAAAAAAAAACAAAAAAACACUCCAAACACAAGUUUAUAAAUUAGAAAACAACAUAGCCUGUCCAGCCAACCAUUAAGUCUCAGGUAUCUUUUUCUAGAUUUUGUUUACACCUAAAAAUAGGUAUAAAAAUGAACACCGCCAAGGCCCAUUUCAAUGCCUCCCUUAUUCAUCUCAAAACUGCCUACUUCUUUCCUAUAAGGCAAGUGAUUGCACUUAGGGUCUAUUCAGACAAUCCAGGAUAAACUCUUUUUCUCAAGAUCUUUAAUCACAUCUUUUGCUACAGAAGGUAAUAUUCACAGGUUCCCAGAAUAAGGAUGUGGACAAAUGUUUUGGGAAGGUCACAUUCAUCCAACUAUAUGUCCUGAUUAGAAGAAUAUAAUGAAACAGUUUUAAUCAUCAGGGAAACUUGAAUAUGAACUAUUAAUGCUAUUAGCAAAUUCUUACUAAUUUUGUUAGAUGUGAAAAUUACAAAGGUUUUUUUUAAGUUAUUAUAUGUUAGGGAGACAUCAGUAUUUUGGUAGAAAGACAUGUUUGCUUUAAAGACCCUCCCCCUUCCAUGGGAAAAAAAAAAGUAAAUCAAGAUUAGCCACACAUUUUAUUAACUGCUGAAAAGUGGUGAUGAUUGUGUCUUAAAAUUUUCAUAAUAAAUUUUUUUUUGUAAACCAGUUGAAAAAAGAUAAAAUUGUCCACUAAAAUGAGACAUGAAAUCCCUCAGAAUGAACUUAGCCAGACCUACACAAUAAAAAAUAUUACAAAAUUAAAAUCAAUGCAGAUACAAGUUAUCAGCCUAUGCUAGAAAAAAAGUCAAAAUACCAAUGGGUAAUUUUUAUCUCUGAUUUUUUAAAAAAUAUAUGCAAUUUUAAUUUAGAAUUCAAAGAAUUUCUCUUUAGAGAAUAAUCAAAACACUGCAAGAUGGUAUAUCUAACAAUACCAAUUAAAUAGAUUAUGUUAUAACCAUUUACUGGAACACUACACAGCAACUAUGGAAAGGGGGUUAUAUAGCCACGUAUAUAGUAUGAUUCCGUAUUUGUUAACAACCAAAAAAAAUCUACUUGCACAAGCGUGUUCAACACACAUUUAUUCAUACAAACAUGAAGGAGUAUAUACCAAAUGUUAUAUACACCAGAUGUUAAGAGUUACUCACUCUGGGUGGUGAGUUUGCAGAACUCUUAUUCUUUACCUUUUAUCAGCAGCUUAUUUUUCUACUAUGAACACCUAUGACAGAUAAAGAAAACUGUAAGUGGUACCACAGACUAUGAUCACCACAUGCCCUUAAGGAAGCACACACAAACUUGGGUGCUUGGUAGGGGCAUGGGGCUGGGGGGUGCAAUGGGGAGAUGGGGUACUGGGUGCACAUCUGAAGCAUGUGAUUCCAAGAACUCUACGUCGCUUCUCUGGCAGUUGCCAAACUGUAUUCCACAAGAGAGUUCCACAAGUGUCACACAGAGAAGGAUCAAUGUCUAAGUUUUCAGACACACUAGGUUAAGAUCUUACUUUGUUACAUUUGCUCUGCAUCCCCAGGAGAAAAAGAUAUGGCACACUCAUUCACUGAGCCAUAGAACCUUUGUUUAACAACCUACAUAGACUCAAUAGGACGUCUACUGAAAAGUAUUUUAUGAAUUCCAAUGUAAAAACUUGGACGAACAAGGAUUGCUUACACCACAUAUUUCCACUGAGAGUCUGAAAACUAGCCUGUUUCCCUAGAUUUAGAUGGAUUCAUCUCAAAACUACCCCAUAUUUUUCGUAUUUUUUGUGGUCUCAAGCUUUAUAGUUUUAAAUAUAAUUUGCAUCUUGCUGUCAGUUCAUUUUACAGCAGUGUUUUUCAAACUGGAUUUCUAUUCACUAAUGGAUUGAGAAAUCAAUGUGAUAGAUACAACCCACAUUAAAAAAAGUUUUGUUUUUUUUUAAUUUUUAAAGAAAACUAUCAGGGACUUCCCUGGUUGUCUACUGGUCAAGAAUCUGACUGCUAAUGUAGGGGACAUGCGUUGGACCCCUGGUCCAGGAAGAUCCCUCACUGUGGAGCCCACGUGACAACUACUGAAGCCCACAUGCCUUAGAGCCUAUGCUCUACAAGAGAAGCCACCACAAUGAGAAGCCCGUGCGCGACAGCUCGAGAGUAGUCCCCACUUGCUGCAACUUAUGCACAGCAACAAAGACCCAGUGCAGCAAAAAAUAAAUUAACAAACUAAUAAAAAAGAAAACUAUCAUGUAGUAAAGAUAAUAUUUUUUAUAAAACUUUUGUGUCCAUAUAUAACCACACAAAAUAUAUGCAUGUGUGUAUUGGUCACAAUAUAAAAUACAUUUAUUGCUAUGGGUUGCAAUCAAAAUAUUUUGAAACUCACUGAAUUAAUGAGAUGAACUUAUUGAUAAACAGAUAAAGUCAGAACAUAUUUCAAACACCCAAACCCUUCUUGUAUAUAUUAGGUAAAUUUUUAAAAAAUCAAAGCAAUACUGCCACAUAGAUCCCCAACUUACAAACAAGUACCAAAAAUCCGUUUGAAUACUGGGUACCUAGAGCUUUUCUUCAGAGAAGGCAAUGGCGCCCCACUCCAGUACUUUUGCCUAGAAAAUCCCAUGGAC